rnacentral:rRNA from 1 species
AGCGAACGCUGACGGCAGGCCUAACACAUGCAAGUCGAACGGAGUCUUCGGACUUAGUGGCGGACGGGUGAGUAACACGUGGGAACGUGCCUUUAGGUUCGGAAUAACUCAGGGAAACUUGUGCUAAUACCGAAUGUGCCCUUCGGGGGAAAGAUUUAUCGCCUUUAGAGCGGCCCGCGUCUGAUUAGCUAGUUGGUGAGGUAAAGGCUCACCAAGGCGACGAUCAGUAGCUGGUCUGAGAGGAUGAUCAGCCACAUUGGGACUGAGACACGGCCCAAACUCCUACGGGAGGCAGCAGUGGGGAAUCUUGCGCAAUGGGCGAAAGCCUGACGCAGCCAUGCCGCGUGAAUGAUGAAGGUCUUAGGAUUGUAAAAUUCUUUCACCGGGGACGAUAAUGACGGUACCCGGAGAAGAAGCCCCGGCUAACUUCGUGCCAGCCGCCGCAGUAA